CUGACCUGCCCAGUGAUUAAUUUAACGGCCGCGGUAUAUUGACCGUGCAAAGGUAGCAUAAUCAUUAGUCUUUUAAUAGAGGGCUGGAAUGAAAGGUUUAACGAGGAACUGACUGUCUCAUUUUAUUUGUUUUAAAAUUUAAUUUUUUAGUUAAAAAGCUAAAAUUUUAUUGGAAGACGAGAAGACCCUAUAGAUCUUUAUAGAAAUAUAUAUAAUUAUUAUUAUAUUAAUAUAAUUAUAUAUAUUUCUAUUCUGUUGGGGUGACAAAAAUAUAUAUAUAACUUUUUUAUUUAUUUAACAUUGAUUUAUGAAUAUAUGAUCCAUUAUUAUUGAUUAUUAGAUUAAGUUACCUUAGGGAUAACAGCGUAAUCCUCCUCCAGAGUUCAUAUUUACAGGAUGGGCUUGCGACCUCGAUGUUGGAUUAAGAUAAUAAUUAGGUGUAGCCGCUUAAUUUAUAGGUCUGUUCGACCUUUAA
rnacentral:rRNA from 1 species